rnacentral:rRNA from 1 species
AAAUUGAAGAGUUUGAUCAUGGCUCAGAUUGAACGCUGGCGGCAGGCCUAACACAUGCAAGUCGAACGGUAACAGGAAGCAGCUUGCUGUUUCGCUGACGAGUGGCGGACGGGUGAGUAAUGUCUGGGAAACUGCCUGAUGGAGGGGGAUAACUACUGGAAACGGUAGCUAAUACCGCAUAACGUCGCAAGACCAAAGAGGGGGACCUUCGGGCCUCUUGCCAUCGGAUGUGCCCAGAUGGGAUUAGCUUGUUGGUGGGGUAACGGCUCACCAAGGCGACGAUCCCUAGCUGGUCUGAGAGGAUGACCAGCCACACUGGAACUGAGACACGGUCCAGACUCCUACGGGAGGCAGCAGUGGGGAAUAUUGCACAAUGGGCGCAAGCCUGAUGCAGCCAUGCCGCGUGUAUGAACGAAGGCCUUCGGGUUGUAAAGUACAUUUCAGCGGGGAGGAAGGGAGUAAAGUUAAUACCUUUGCUCAUUGACGUUACCCGCAGAAGAAGCACCGGCUAACUCCGUGCCAGCAGCCGCGGUAAUACGGAGGGUGCAAGCGUUAAUCGGAAUUACUGGGCGUAAAGCGCACGCAGGCGGUUUGUUAAGUCAGAUGUGAAAUCCCCGGGCUCAACCUGGGAACUGCAUCUGAUACUGGCAAGCUUGAGUCUCGUAGAGGGGGGUAGAAUUCCAGGUGUAGCGGUGAAAUGCGUAGAGAUCUGGAGGAAUACCGGUGGCGAAGGCGGCCCCCUGGACGAAGACUGACGCUCAGGUGCGAAAGCGUGGGGAGCAAACAGGAUUAGAUACCCUGGUAGUCCACGCCGUAAACGAUGUCGACUUGGAGGUUGUGCCCUUGAGGCGUGGCUUCCGGAGCUAACGCGUUAAGUCGACCGCCUGGGGAGUACGGCCGCAAGGUUAAAACUCAAAUGAAUUGACGGGGGCCCGCACAAGCGGUGGAGCAUGUGGUUUAAUUCGAUGCAACGCGAAGAACCUUACCUGGUCUUGACAUCCACAGAACUUUCCAGAGAUGGAUUGGUGCCUUCGGGAGCUGUGAGACAGGUGCUGCAUGGCUGUCGUCAGCUCGUGUUGUGAAAUGUUGGGUUAAGUCCCGCAACGAGCGCAACCCUUAUCCUUUGUUGCCAGCGGUCCGGCCGGGAACUCAAAGGAGACUGCCAGUGAUAAACUGGAGGAAGGUGGGGAUGACGUCAAGUCAUCAUGGCCCUUACGACCAGGGCUACACACGUGCUACAAUGGCGCAUACAAAGAGAAGCGACCUCGCGAGAGCAAGCGGACCUCAUAAAGUGCGUCGUAGUCCGGAUUGGAGUCUGCAACUCGACUCCAUGAAGUCGGAAUCGCUAGUAAUCGUGGAUCAGAAUGCCACGGUGAAUACGUUCCCGGGCCUUGUACACACCGCCCGUCACACCAUGGGAGUGGGUUGCAAAAGAAGUAGGUAGCUUAACCUUCGGGAGGGCGCUUACCACUUUGUGAUUCAUGACUGGGGUGAAGUCGUAACAAGGUAACCGUAGGGGAACCUGCGGUUGGAUCACCUCCUUACCUUAAAGAAGC